GAGUUUGAUCCUGGCUCAGAUUGAACGCUGGCGGUAUGCUUAACACAUGCAAGUCGAACGGAAACGAUACUAGCUUGCUAGUAGGCGUCGAGUGGCGGACGGGUGAGUAACGCGUAGGAAUCUGCCUGAUAGUGGGGGAUAGCCCGAAGAAAUUCGGAUUAAUACCGCAUAAUCUAUUCGUAGUAAAGUGGGGGACUUUCGAGCCUCACGCUAUCAGAUGAGCCUGCGUAAGAUUAGCUUGUUGGUAGGGUAAAAGCCUACCAAGGCGACGAUCUUUAGCUGGUCUGAGAGGAUGAUCAGCCACAUCGGGACUGAGACACGGCCCGAACUCCUACGGGAGGCAGCAGUGGGGAAUAUUGGACAAUGGGGGCAACCCUGAUCCAGCAAUACCGCGUGUGUGAAGAAGGCCUGAGGGUUGUAAAGCACUUUCAAUUGUGAAGAAAAGUUAGCGGUUAAUAACCGUUAGCCUUGACGUUAACUUUAGAAGAAGCACCGGCUAACUCCGUGCCAGCAGCCGCGGUAAUACGGAGGGUGCAAGCGUUAAUCGGAAUUACUGGGCGUAAAGCGUGCGUAGGCGGUUUAUUAAGUCAGAUGUGAAAGCCCCGGGCUUAACCUGGGAACUGCAUUUGAAACUGGUCAACUAGAGUAUGGUAGAGGAAAGUGGAAUUUCUGGUGUAGCGGUGAAAUGCGUAGAUAUCAGAAGGAACAUCAAUGGCGAAGGCAGCUUUCUGGACCAAUACUGACGCUGAGGUACGAAAGCGUGGGUAGCAAACAGGAUUAGAUACCCUGGUAGUCCACGCCGUAAACGAUGAUAACUAGCCGUUGGGGGGAUUUACCCUUUAGUGGCGAAGCUAACGCGUUAAGUUAUCCGCCUGGGGAGUACGGCCGCAAGGUUAAAACUCAAAGGAAUUGACGGGGACCCGCACAAGCGGUGGAGCAUGUGGUUUAAUUCGAUGCAACGCGAAGAACCUUACCUGGUCUUGACAUCCUGCGAACUUUCUAGAAAUAGAUUGGUGCCUUCGGGAACGCAGUGACAGGUGCUGCUUGGCUGUCGUCAGCUCGUGUCGUGAGAUGUUGGGUUAAGUCCCGUAACGAGCGCAACCCCUAUCCUUAUUUGCCAGCACAUCAUGGUGGGAACUAUAAGGAGACUGCCGGUGAUAAACCGGAGGAAGGCGGGGACGACGUCAAGUCAUCAUGGCCCUUACGACCAGGGCUACACACGUGCUACAAUGGGAAGGACAAAGAGCCGCGAAGCCGCGAGGUGUAGCUAAUCUCAGGAACCUUUUCGUAGUCCGGAUUGGAGUCUGCAACUCGACUCCAUGAAGUCGGAAUCGCUAGUAAUCGUAGAUCAGAAUGCUACGGUGAAUACGUUCCCGGGUCUUGUACACACCGCCCGUC
rnacentral:rRNA from 1 species